GGAGUUGUCAAACAGGAGACGAACAUGCAUUUCUUCAUGAGGAGACCACAUGCUAGGCAAUGUCGGCAAACACAGACAGCAGUUGCAAAGGAGGCUUAGAGAACAUGGAGGCUCCUGUCUGACUGACCACGGCCCAGACAAUUCCUCCUGCUGCUGGACAACCCAGCCCUGUUGUCAACAUCACAAGGAGAAUGUGACCAGAAUGGAUUUUCCAUAGAGGAGACAAUACAUAUGAGAGCUCAGCUGCAGUUCUGAUUUUGUUGGGGGGAACUGCGAUGAUGCAUCUUGGAUGGAUAAUAUGGCUGGAGGUACUUUCUGUGGAAAACCCUGAGCAGAGCCUGCGUGAAGCAUGUACUCACUGUGUGAGCUGCCUGUAAAUUGGAGUUCUGAAUGUAAUUUCAAAUAUUGCCUGCAUUAUAGCUGCAGAGAAGUUCAUACCUAUUGCUGUUCAUGUCUCACAUGGUGGCUGUUGCUCAAAAGCAUUUUGAGGGGCUUUGUGGGCUGCAGCUGCAUAGUCCAGCCAGAAUGUGCCAUCUCCUGCAUUGUGAUGUGCUGGGAAGACUAUGUGGGAGAUGAAAAGAUUACAGAUGUAAUCACAAGAGACCAGAACAAAAAAGUGUGAGAGAAGCAUUUAGUCCACUCCUUUAAAAGGAUAAAAUGUUUCUCUGCAGCCAUGGAAGUGAAAACAAGGAUCAGGUUAAUACCUGAACGCUAGCGUCCUAAGUGAAAAUGCAUAAAGAAAUCAAUGUUUCAUUGCACCUCUGUAAAACGAGACAGGGAGAUGAGUAAUCGCGCUGAGGUUUCAGUUCCUCAGUGGGGCGGAAACCAAAGAUCCAUCAAACGAAAGUUAGAGCUUUAAUUUUCUGGCAGUGGAAACUGGCAUUUUGGCAUCCCGUGGAAUUUUGAGCUUGUCAUUGUACCCCAAACAGGUAAAAUGAGUUUUCCAGAAGAAAUAUAAUAAAAAUUAUCCAUGUUUCUGUAUCUCUUAUAAACCCCAGAAAUUCCAGAUUUAGGUUUAGGAAAACGGUUGUAUUAAGUUGAGAUAUUUCCCUCAGUUUCAUCUUAUAAUAUUUUUGAUUUUUAUAUAUUUUAUCAUUUGAUACUAUUUUACAGGAAGUAAAAGUGAAUAACAUCAAUUUACAGGAAUUCAUAUUCCCAGAUAAAUAAUAAAAGAGAAGUGGAUGUUUGUAUCUCCUAAUUCUUGAAUUAAUAGUUAAGCUUAUUUCCUGAUUACUCCUUAUAGAAAUCAAGAACAUACUGGAGCUUGCAAUGCACAGCUUAUUACAUUUAUGGAAUUCAGAAAAAGGAUAUAAAUCUAGAUAAAAUGAUAAAAAAGUCAAGAAAAGAAGUGAGCAAAGACCUGCACCCUGAAGGCAUGGGCACACGUCAGAGGUAUGAAAGGAAUCCCAUGAAAAAGGCAGGCAUCGCAAGAGGCUCCCUUGAACCCCUGGAUAUUCAGCACAGGAAUGCCUGAAAAGGCCAGGAUUUCUGCAGAAUACUUUAUUCCAUUACUUUUUGCAGCAAAUAGAAGAGUUGAUGAUCAUGGCAAUGCUUGGUAGAAGACACAUGGCUAUGGUGGCAGGUACAGAAGGCAAGCUGCAAGUGUGCUAUGACUUCUCCCUUGCUUUUUAGGUUUGUCCUGAGGAUUAGCUAGUGAACAGAAAAUAGGUGUAAUAGAAAGAAAAGCAGGAAGAGGCCACACCUAACGUCGCAGAGUAAGACUUUUUUCUCAUUGAUAUUUAAAGUUGGAUCCUCAGACCUUUGUUGCAGACUUUAACUCAAUGGCAAAUAAAAAUAUCAAGGGAAGAAAGAUAUAUGUGACUAUAAUGCACAGGCAAUCCUUCAGAAAAAGCAUUCUGGAUUUUGAGCUCUACUAAAUCAGUUGGGGUUUAUUGCAAUAUGGUUUUUUGGCUAAUUUGUUCAGGAAGAGGGCAUAUAUUAAAUAUUAAGACCAUAUAUAUACAAAAAAUAAUGAUUUUAUUAGUUAAGAAAGCAAGAAAAAUAUGUAAUGCCCUAGUAAUCCUUAAAUCUGCUUAUCUGGUGCUAGCUUAAUACAUCUUCCUUCUUUAACCAGACUUCUAACUGAAUGAAAGUCCCAGUAAAUCGAUGAGGCCCUUCUGCCCACUAUAUAAAGGUUAAGUUAUCCAACAAAGACUAAAAAUAAUGAUAGGUGACUCAGGUGGACAACAAAAUUCUAAAUUUCAAGUAUUAAAUAACUUCCCUCAUUCAUGUAAAUUGUACCAUAAAUUGACUUUUUAAUCUUAAGACAAAAAUCAGUUCAAAACAGUUUUAUAGCACUUGCUUUGUAGAAAACUUGCAGUCCGGGAAAGGGCUGAGUUAACUGAAUAAAUAAUAUACCCAUACCCCUUAAUAUAUAAUACAUUAAUGCAAGAUAACUUCAUAUUGAUCUGCUGCCAAACAACCAUGAUGACUUACUUAUUUUUGUGUAAAGAGUAGGAUUUUAAAAUAUCAGCUGACAUUAUUUUUCUUUAUUGCAGGGUUGGGUUUGACUGUGCUCACUUCCUAUGUGAAGAUAUUAAAUAUACAAUUUAAAGACAGUGAAAAGAGCUGUAAAAGCCUUCCAGAUUUCUCAACUUUCAAAAAUUCCCAUCUCUCAUUAAAGAUGUGCUAAAGCACACUUUUAAUGAGCAGCCCUGGGUGAUUUUUUUUGUCACAUCAAGAUUUUCAUAGAAAAAUUAAUUAGAAACUUUGGACAAACAUUUCAGUAAUUUAUAUUCUUUACAGUUAACGUUUAAUGUAAAUCUGAUGUUGAACAACAGUUCUAUCCCAUACUGCCUGUAUGCUUUUCAGUUGCAUCUUGCUUCCUGUUGCUGUAGUAUAGUAGUACUAGUACUGGACAGCAAACUGUGGAGUUACCAGAUGCUCUGUAACCAGUUUAGGAGAGGUACACUGGUUCCCCUGGUUUCACAAGUUCCUCAAAAAGAUGUUUGAAGAGACUUUCAAGAACCGACAUGAGCAGAGGCAUGCUUCCCUAGGUCCUUCUCAUGGCUAAAGAAAUGAUCUGGAGAUGUUCCCACGCAGGAAUUCAUAGGCGGGGGCAGAGAUUUGAGAGUUUUGUGGGAAGACGUUGCCAGCCAGGCUCCUGAGCUUGGGUCCACUGCGAAUGGCAGCUGAGGUGCUCACGCUUGUUUCCAGCAGUGCCGUGCAGUGGCACGUCUGUGUCCCUCAGAGCAUGCCUGGGCGUGGAGGAGGACUGUGGGAGGAAACCCCUGCUCACCACUUCGAGCUGUGUUUUGUGCCAAGCCACGUGCAGCUGUCAGUGGCUUUGCAAUGUGCUUGGUCUAUGCUGCGUACUCACAAAUAUUGCUGCUGUCUGUGCUGGGUUUAAUUUUGGGGGGAUUGAAAGAAAGUACCUUGGGAAGGAUUGUACGAGGAGAAGACACAUAAACCUUGCUUCCUGACUCAA